rnacentral:rRNA from 1 species
GCGUUGUCCGGAAUUAUUGGGCGUAAAGAGCUCGUAGGCGGUUUGUCACGUCGGCUGUGAAAUCCCGAGGCUCAACCUCGGGUCUGCAGUCGAUACGGGCAGACUAGAGUACUGCAGGGGAGACUGGAAUUCCUGGUGUAGCGGUGGAAUGCGCAGAUAUCAGGAGGAACACCGGUGGCGAAGGCGGGUCUCUGGGCAGUAACUGACGCUGAGGAGCGAAAGCGUG